GCCAAAGCAGCAGAGAACCAGCAUCGACACACAGAGCACCCCCUCCCAUGGGAACAUGGGAACAGGGCUGAGGCCACGGUUCCCAUGGGCAAAGCUUCUGCCUACAAGCAUUUUGGUCUCAAAUCACUAAUAUUUAACUACAUUCUGCCGACAGAGCGUGACAUUUGAGCUCAGGGUAAAUAAGGCAUUUGCUCACUGCCAGAGGGAUUCAAAGUUAGACCUGCAGGGAACAGGCAUAUUUGGAGUCACAUGACCAUGGUUUCUUAUUGCUGUGGUAGCUGUUGUUUACAAGACACUCUGAAAUCUUGGUGAAGCAUUCUGGGUCAGGAAUGCAUAAAGCUUUCCAAUCAAUCCAUCUUCUCCCUAAGCUGCUCCAAGGAGCUCUCAUGUGGGGAUGUGCCCAAGGUCACAAGACGAGUGGCAGAACCAAGGCUAGAACUCAGAAGAGCAGCUGAGACACAGGGCUGCGGCUGGCAGGAAGCAGUCCCGUACUCCGACAGAGCGGGGAGGAGCGGGACUGCACAGGCUGCUCUGAGCCCUCAGCUCCCCUCGUUCUCCUGAGCUCUCUGAGGCCCCAUGAAGACUCGUGGAGGACUUGGGCAGGACACACUUGACUCAAAGGAAGAAGUACGCUGCCUCCGCCUCAGCGCUUCCCGCGCCAGAGCCACCAUCAUGACAGGCAGUCUGGGGGUGCAGAGCCACCACGUGCCAUGCUCAGCACAGGGACUGGCAGGGCCAAGCACGAGAUGGGCAUUAUGCAGAGAGGUCCUUCAGGAGACGACGUCAGCCCUGAGUCUCAGCCGCCCAAGCCCAGGGCCUGACACGUGUCAUGCUGCUCCUGUGCUUGGAGUGCAGCACUGAGGAAAGAACGCACUUUCACCAAAGCAGAACACGGCCAGCCCCGGGAGUUACACGUCAGAGUCACGUCUACACUGCAAUGCAGGAGUGCCUAGAUUUCCUCAGGCUCAGAUCAAGCCGUUCCAUGGUGAAGGGAAAUAAAGUAACAUUGGCUUUCUGAACAUAAAAAGAAAAUCUCACUUUACUAGAAAGUAAAGAGGAAUACACACAAUACAGCUAAAGACAAAGACGGUUUGCCAAGAGUUCAUUUGGCACAAACUGCCUUCGAGACAGACUGACAGCACUAGAGUUAUUUUGAUUUUAUAAGCAAUUUGUCAUGUAUCAAAGACAUUCCUUGCUUCCAGUGAUUUCUUCUCUGUCAAUUUCUUCUUCUGUUAUUAGAUGGAAACAGAAUUUGAAUUCUCUACCAAACUUUUCUCAUCAAUUGGCUUCAGCUUGCUGCCUUUGUCUGUGAUUUCUCAGUCUAGAAGAUUCACUCUUCAGAUUUUUAAAAUUAUGAGAUGUUUCACAUGCAUAUAAACAGCAAAGUAGAUAAUAUAACGCCACAAAUACAAUGUCACGGAUGCAGGUAAACUCGCCUUGCCUCUCCUCAGCCCUUCAGAGUUCACUACUAUGCUGAAUGCAGUAUUUAUCAUUCCUACAAGCAGCUUUUUACUUUUAUUACAUAUUUGCAUGUCCCUAAGUAAUAUAACACCAUAUUGCGUGGUUUAAAACUUUGUAUAGAUGAUCUUCCCUGCAUCCUCCUGCAACCUGCUUCCUUUCCCUCCUCUUUAUAACUGAGAAGUCUCGUGACACAUGUGGUCCAGUUUCUUCCUUCUGACUGCUCUGCGGUCCCCUGCGACCACAGCCAAGUUCACCUGGCCAUUCAUUCUCUUUUCAAAGGACAGCAGGCUGUUGCCAAUGUCUUGCUAUGAACGAGGCUGCCACACACACCUUGUGCCUGCCACGUGCUGCACCUGCGUGGGUUUUUCGCAGGUAUAUAUAUAGCUAGUGGAACUGCCAGCAGAAGGCGUUAUCUCCUUUAAGGUUUCCCUUAUCUCAGAAAACCAGAUUUGCCCUCGUAUAUACUCAGUAAAACUGUACGUUUGGCACUUACUGUCUCUACCAACAAUUUGAUAUGCAAAUAAAAACACAGGGAGAUGUUUUCUGUAUUCUUAUGUAUCCUAUGUUUCCAAGUUAUAAACAUCUUGAGGCAGCUUUGUGCUCUCCACACCUACCACAAUAGCUAGCUGGUAACAAAUUUGAUUGCUCCCCUUGGAAACGUGGAUGGCAGGACGUGCCCAUGAAGCUCCCGCCUCUUCCCUGAGAAGCCUCAGCCGGCCCCUCUCCAGGGGGCUGUGCAAGCAGA